GAACAAGUUUUGUUAUGGUACUUUUGAUGAAAACUGACUUUCUAGACCUCAAAUGUCACUUUUUUGACCUUAUCAUACUUUUUCAUCAACUUUUGCAUUUUAAUGUAAACAAUCAUAUUUCGUAAUAUUUUGGGUCAGAAACAUUUCAUAGUACUAUAUUAUGUCUAACUAUGUGAAAAAAAUCAAAUUGGAGUAGGUCGGGCAACUGAUUAUAUGAGUUUGUUAGAAAAACCACUUUCCUUUGCUCCUAGCGCCUUCUCGUUCGCUCUAUAGCGUUUUGAGCGGAUAAAGAGCACAAGUGUGUAAGGAGACACAGGAUGAAUGCGAACUACUUUUGUUAUUGUACUUUUGAUGAAAACUGACUUUCUAGACAUAAAAUGUCACUUUUUUAACCUUAUCAUACUUUUUCAUCAACUUUUGCAUUUUAAUGUAAACAAUCAUAUUUCGUAAUAUUUUGGGUCAGAAACAUUUCAUAGUACUAUAUUAUGUCUAACUAUGUGAAAAAAAUCAAAUUGGAGUACGUCGGGCAAUUGAUUAUAUGAGUUUGUUAGAAAAACCACUUUCCUUUGCUCCUAGCGCCUUCUCGUUCGCUGUAUAGCGUUUUGAGCGGAUAAAGAGCACAAGUGUGCAUGGACACACAGGAUGAAUGGAAACAAGUUUUGUUAUGGUACUUUUGAUGAAAAGUGACUUUCUGACCUUCAAAUGUCACUUUUUUCAACUUAUCAUACUUUAUCAUCAAGUUUUACAUUUUAAUGUAAACAAUCAUAUUUCGUAUUAUUUUAGGGUCAGAAACAUUUCAUAGUACUAUAUUAUGUCUAACUAUGUGAAAAAAAUCAAAUUGGAGUACGUCGGGCAAUUGAUUACAUGAGUUUGUUAGAAAAACCACUUUCCUUUGCUCCUAGCGCCUUCU
ensembl:lncRNA